rnacentral:rRNA from 1 species
UUGUGGUUAAAAAGCUCGUAGUUGGAUCUCGGCGGACUGAGGGCGGUUUGCUUGCUAGUAUUACUGCCCUAUAGUCCGUAGUUUUGCCAGAGGUUUCGGGGUGCUCUUAAUCGAGUGUCCCGGGAUGCUGGCAGGUUUACUUUGAAAAAAUUAGAGUGCUCAAAGCAGGCUAUUACGCCUGAAUAUUCGUGCAUGGAAUAAUAGAAUAGGAAGUCGUUUCUAUUUUGUUGGUUUUCGGAAACCGACUUAAUGAUUAAUAGGGACAGUCGGGGGCAUUUGUAUUCAAACGACAGAGGUGAAAUUCUUGGACCGUUUGAAGACAAACUACUGCGAAAGCAUUUGCCAAGAAUGUUUUCAUUAAUCAAGAACGAAAGUUAAAGGUUCGAAGGCGAUUAGAUACCGCCCUAGUUUUAACCAUAAACGAUGCCAGCUAGCGAUCUGCGGACGUUUUUUUUGUAGACUCCGCAGGGAGCUUCCGGGAAACCAAAGCAUUUGGGUUCCAGGGGAAGUAUGGUUGCAAAGCUGAAACUUAAAGGAAUUGACGGAAGGGCACUACCAGGAGUGGAGCCUGUGGCUUAAUUUGACUCAACACGGGAAAUCUCACCAGGCCCGGACACUGGAAGGAUUGACAGAUGGAUACCUCUUUCU